GUGGCCCGAAGACAAGAGAUGACACAGAAUUGUGCCAAGGGGCAGGACAGAAGGAGGAGUCAGCCCCCGGAGCAGGGAAAUAACUACAAAAGGGCAUGAAGACCAAGAGGCAGGAAUCAUCUAGCCACCCUAGAGUGGCUCUCAUGGUGGCACAAUUAAGCAAGAGGAGUAGAUUGUGUGGGGGUGGUCUGCACUUCCACCUGUAUGCUGUGUGAAAGAGAUUCUACAUGGAUGGUCUUAGAGCUUGCUCUGAAAAGAAAUCAGGAGGGAGCAAGGAGACCUUGAAGAGAAUGAGGCUGGAGAUUUUCUGAUGGACAUCCAGGGACAGGACAUAGGAUAAUCGUCAGCUGCCAGCUAAGUCCAUGAGGAUACUGAGAGGAAGCCCAGCCAAGGAAUCCCAGUGAUGGAACCACAGAUGCAUUCAACAUCCACCAGCCUGCAUAGCACUGACAUCGAGUUGGGAAACGGCCAAUCGAGAGAGACUUUUUCUGUUCCUCUCUCCUCAUUCCUGCCCCUGACUCUGUGAGGAUCAGGAAUCCCUCUUAGCAAUCCUCAGGGUGAAGAGUUAGAGAAGAAAUAGCACUGACCCCCACUUUACAUGUCAGCUGCCCUGCCUAAAGCAGGCCAAACUGAGGAAAAGAAGAAAUUUUAAUAUGAAUGACAGUU
rnacentral:lncRNA from 10 species